UUGAGAACCAAACAAAUACAUCCAUAGUUUACAACACUUUCAGCAGGAUUACAUUUUGGAAGCAGGAGACAGAAGAAGCAACUGAAGACAGCUAGUUAGGAAAAGAAAGCUUGGACAAAAGAAGGCAGAUGGCAGCAGCAAAUUGGGGUGGUAGGGACUGAGGUCAGCUCACCAGAUUGAUGGACCAUAGAAAAUAAUCAUAGAAGGCAACACAACACAUAAUAGCCUGGAGACCAUUAAGGAGUACAAAAGAGGAGGGGACAAGAGCAGAGGGGGGAUUCAUAAUUCAAAAAAAGAGAAGGGUAUUGAAGGAGAGAGCAGGCCUCUCGAAAGUCCUGCCUGAGAGUUACUUUGGUUUAUGUGUUCAUGUAUUUUGUUCAUGAGUGAUAGUGAGAAUUUCCAGAAAUGGUAUCAUUGUUGCAUUGAAUUCAUGUUGUCAUUUACAAAGUUUAUCUACAAGAAGUACAUUUCUAGAA